AUGAACGCUGGCGGCGUGCCUAAUACAUGCAAGUCGAGCGAACGGACGAGAAGCUUGCUUCUCUGAUGUUAGCGGCGGACGGGUGAGUAACACGUGGAUAACCUACCUAUAAGACUGGGAUAACUUCGGGAAACCGGAGCUAAUACCGGAUAAUAUUUUGAACCGCAUGGUUCAAAAGUGAAAGACGGUCUUGCUGUCACUUAUAGAUGGAUCCGCGCUGCAUUAGCUAGUUGGUAAGGUAACGGCUUACCAAGGCAACGAUGCAUAGCCGACCUGAGAGGGUGAUCGGCCACACUGGAACUGAGACACGGUCCAGACUCCUACGGGAGGCAGCAGUAGGGAAUCUUCCGCAAUGGGCGAAAGCCUGACGGAGCAACGCCGCGUGAGUGAUGAAGGUCUUAGGAUCGUAAAACUCUGUUAUUAGGGAAGAACAUAUGUGUAAGUAACUGUGCACAUCUUGACGGUACCUAAUCAGAAAGCCACGGCUAACUACGUG
rnacentral:rRNA from 1 species